rnacentral:rRNA from 1 species
GACGAACGCUGGCGGCGUGCUUAACACAUGCAAGUCGAGCGGAAAGGCCUUUCGGGGUACUCGAGCGGCGAACGGGUGAGUAACACGUGAGUAAUCUGCCCCAUGCUUUGGGAUAGCCACCGGAAACGGUGAUUAAUACCGGAUACGACGCACUCAGGCAUCUGAUGUGUGUGGAAAGUUUUUCGGCAUGGGAUGUGCUCGCGGCCUAUCAGCUUGAUGGUGAGGUAAUGGCUCACCAUGGCUUCGACGGGUAGCCGGCCUGAGAGGGUGACCGGCCACACUGGGACUGAGACACGGCCCAGACUCCUACGGGAGGCAGCAGUGGGGAAUAUUGGACAAUGGGCGGAAGCCUGAUCCAGCAACGCCGCGUGAGGGAUGACGGCCUUCGGGUUGUAAACCUCUUUCGGUAGGGACGAAGCGAAAGUGACGGUACCUACUAAAGAAGCACCGGCCAACUACGUGCCAGCCGCCGCGGUAACAC